CAGACGAGCAGAGUCAUCGUGAAGAAACCAGCAGAAGUUAUGAGACAAAGAAGUCAUCUUGGAGUCAUGGCAACAGGUACUGGGAGGAGACCUGAAAGGAAACAUGCCGUCACCAGCAACAAAAAAACGAAAAAUUUAAUAAGAAAAUCUCAAAUUUAACCCUCAUUGGGAAGAGGAAUUCUUCGUUAUUGCAAAACAAUCAGAACUGUAUUUGCUUACCUUUGUGAAUACAAGUACCAUUCAAAGCUCACCAACAUUCACACCACAGAACUUGUGAAGGCUACUUUUACCAAAUUUAAACCAAAUUUUGUGGAAAUUGCAAAUCAUAUCCAGAUUCAACCCUCACAUUAGUUUUAGUAUUGUUCUGUGAAUCUGUAUCUGGAAUGUGAACCUUUAUUUUGCAUUGCAAAAAAACAGCUUUAUGCUACCUUAUAGUAACAGCUGAAAGACAUUUUUAUUCUAAAAUAUCACAAGUCUUUUCUUGUUUCUGCACCACAAUAUAUCGUUAAGUACUUUUCUUUGUUUUUUCUUGUAUUUCAAAAGUAAAUGCCUUUAUUUUGGUAUUGUUUGUAAGAAUUCUUCUUAAAGUAAAAUAUAGUCCUGCA